rnacentral:rRNA from 1 species
UACAGAGGUGGCAAGCGUUGUUCGGAAUUACUGGGCGUAAAGCGCACGUAGGCGGAUCGAUCAGUCAGGGGUGAAAUCCCAGAGCUCAACUCUGGAACUGCCUUUGAUACUGUCGAUCUGGAGUAUGGAAGAGGUGAGUGGAAUUCCGAGUGUAGAGGUGAAAUUCGUAGAUAUUCGGAGGAACACCAGUGGCGAAGGCGGCUCACUGGUCCAUUACUGACGCUGAGGUGCGAAAGCGUGGGGAGCAAACAGG